rnacentral:rRNA from 1 species
UACGGAGGAUGCAAGCGUUAUCCGGAUUUAUUGGGUUUAAAGGGUGCGUAGGCGGAUUAAUAAGUCAGUGGUGAAAACCUUCAGCUUAACUGGAGACUUGCCAUUGAUACUGUCAGUCUUGAGUAUGGUUAAGGUAGGCGGAAUGUGUAAUGUAGCGGUGAAAUGCUUAGAUAUUACACAGAACACCGAUUGCGAAGGCAGCUUACUGAGCCAUAACUGACGCUGAUGCACGAAAGCGUGGGGAUCAAACAGG